AACGAACGCUGGCGGCAUGCCUAACACAUGCAAGUCGAACGAGACCUUCGGGCCUAGUGGCGCACGGGUGCGUAACGAGUGGGAACCUGCCCUUAGGUUCGGAAUAACUCACCGAAAGAGGUGCUAAUACCGGAUAAUGUCAUCGCACCAAAGAUUUAUCGCCAUGGGAUGGGCCUGCGUAGGAUUGGCCAGUUGGUAGGGUAAAAGCAUGCCAAGGCGACGAUCCAUAGCUGGUCGGAGAGGAUGAUCAGCCACACUGGGACUAAGACACGGCCCAGACUGCUACGGGAGGGUGCAGAGGGGAAUAUUGGACAAUGGGGGAAGGCCUGAUCCAGCAAUGCCGCGUAAGUGAGGAAGGCGUUAGGGUUGUAAAGCUCUUUUACCCGGGAUGUUAGUGACGGUACCGGGAGAAUAAGCACCGGCUAACUCCGUG
rnacentral:rRNA from 1 species